GGGCCGGGGGCGGCGUGUCUAUACAUGCAGUAGAACGCUGAAGGAGGAGCUUGCUCUUCUGGAUGAGUUGCGAACGGGUGAGUAACGCGUAGGUAACCUGCCUGGUAGCGGGGGAUAACUAUUGGAAACGAUAGCUAAUACCGCAUAAUAUUGACUAUUGCAUGAUAGUCAAUUGAAAGGUGCAAAUGCACCACUACCAGAUGGACCUGCGUUGUAUUAGCUAGUUGGUGGAGCAACAGAACACCAAGCCGACAAGACAAAGCCGAACUCAAAGCCCCACACGCCAAACAGGGAAGCACACACGCCAAAGACUCCUAUCGGAAGGCCAGACCCAGUAAGGAAUCUUCAGCAAUGAACGGAAGUCUGGACCGAAGCAUACGCCCGCCGUGAAGUGAAGAAGAUUUUUCCGGAUUCGUUAAAGCUUCUGUUGUAAGAGAGAGAACCGAGUGGUGAAGAAGUGGAAAAGUUCACCACUGGGACCGGUAUUCUUACCAGAAAAGGGACGGCUAACUAACGUGCCAGCAGCCGCCGGUAAUACGUAGGUCCCGAGCGUUGUCCGGAAUUAUUGGGCGUAAAGCGAGCGCAGGCGGUAAGAUAAGUCUGAAGUUAAAAGGCUGUGGCUUUAACCAUAGUACGCUUUGGAAACUGUUUAACUUGAAGUGCAGAAGGGGAGAGUGGAAUUCCAUGUGUAGCGGUGAAAAUGCGUAGAUAUAUGGAGGAACACCGGUGGCGAAAGCGGCUCUCUGGUCUGUAACUGACGCUGAGGCUCGAAAGCGUGGGGAGCAAACAGGAUUAGAUACCCUGGUAGUCCACGCCGUAAACGAUGAGUGCUAGGUGUUGGGUCCUUUCCGGGACUCAGUGCCGCAGCUAACGCAUUAAGCACUCCGCCUGGGGAGUACGACCGCAAGGUUGAAACUCAAAGGAAUUGACGGGGGCCCGCACAAGCGGUGGAGCAUGUGGUUUAAUUCGAAGCAACGCGAAGAACCUUACCAGGUCUUGACAUCCCGGUGCCCGUCCUAGAGAUAGGAUUUUGCUUCGGCACACCGGUGACAGGUGGUGCAUGGUUGUCGUCAGCUCGUGUCGUGAGAUGUUGGGUUAAGUCCCGCAACGAGCGCAACCCUUAUUGUUAGUUGCCAUCAUUUAGUUGGGCACUCUAGCGAGACUGCCGGUAAUAAACCGGAGGAAGGUGGGGAUGACGUCAAAUCAUCAUGCCCCUUAUGACCUGGGCUACACACGUGCUACAAUGGCUGGUACAACGAGUUGCAAGUCGGUGACGGCAAGCUAAUCUCUUAAAGCCAGUCUCAGUUCGGAUUGUAGGCUGCAACUCGCCUACAUGAAGUCGGAAUCGCUAGUAAUCGCGGAUCAGCACGCCGCGGUGAAUACGUUCCCGGGCCUUGUACACACCGCCCGUCACACCACGAGAGUUUGUAACACCCGAAGUCGGUGAGGUAACCUUCAGGAGCCAGCCGCACUAAGGGUGGAAUGAAGU
rnacentral:rRNA from 1 species